rnacentral:tRNA from 1 species
GCCCACAUAGCUCAGUCGGUAGAGCACACCCUUGGUAAGGGUGAGGUCACGAGUUCAAGUCUCGUUGUGGGCUC